CCUACGGGUGGCAGCAGUCGAGAAUCAUUCACAAUGGGGGAAACCCUGAUGGUGCGACGCCGCGUGGGGGAAUGAAGGUCUUCGGUUUUUAAACUCCUGUCAUGUGGGAGCAAAUUAAAAAGAUAGUACCACAAGAGGAAGAGACGACGAACUCUGUGCACGCCGCCGCGGUAAUACAGAGGUCUCAAGCGUUGUUCGGAAACACUGGGCGUAAAGCGUGCGUAGGCUGUUGCGUAAGUCGUUUGUGAAAGGGGCGGGCUCAAUCCGCGGACGGAAGCUGAUACUGCGAGAAUAGAGUAAUGGAGGGAGGACCGGAAUUCUCGGUGUAGCAGUGAAAUGCGUAGAUAUCGAGAGGAACACUCGUGGCGAAGGCGGGUUCCUGGACAUUAACUGACGCUGAGGUACGAAGGCCAGGGGAGCGAAAGGGAUUAGAUACCCGUGUAGUC
rnacentral:rRNA from 1 species